rnacentral:lncRNA from 1 species
GUUACACUGUCAUGGGAACAACAGGUAAAGGUUCUAUUCCUUAGUGACAACAGGCUGCUUCAUUAUCUCUCCUUUUUAUGUUCUAAGGGCAAAAAUAUUCAGGGUCUGCAGGGUAAAAACUAUGGAAGCAUAAACAAGGAAAACCUGACUCUCCCUCACAACUGCAUGUCCUACUAAAAGUUUCUGAUUCAGCAGGUCUACCGUCGAAACCAGGAAUUAGCAGCUUUAACAAGUGCCACAAGUGAUCGGAUGCCGGUGGUCCCAGGACCACACCUCGAGAAAGCCCCGCAGAGAGAUGAGUGCAUGGAAAGAGCCAACUGAGAGGUGAAGCUUAAACAAAUGUGAGGCAGAAAAAUGUAUUAAUGCGGCACUAAUGAGAAGACGGAAUCAAACUCCCUGCAAAUACACACACACACACACACACACACACACACACACACACAC